GAAACUGCUUUUCUCAGCUGAAUGGCCAGAACUCUCAGUCUACUGCUUGAGUAGAUGCUCAUCAUGUCACUGUGAAAAGGCGCUGUCCAGGCACCAUACGAAUUCAAACUGUCACAAAGAAGCAUCAUGAUUAUUGACUUUCAUAGCUCAGCAGAUGUGAAGAUGUGUUCGUGGGCAGCAUGCGUUCAUAAUGGAGGCAACACAGAGAAGUCUGUCUGUCUAGGCAACGACAGGUAAUUUGAGUGGCUUCAUCAUAAGAGCUGUAAUUAAGAUAAGACAACCAGUUCCCUUUUGAUAAAUGGCUCCACGACUGGGCAGUAUGGCAAAUGCAGCGGCAGUUAUCGCCACGCUGGACGGCUGAAAGGACAAUUCUACCAGACCGGAACUCAAACCUGAAGGUUUCCUGUUUCAUGUGUGAUUAAUGGUGGCUCAAACACAUCCUUAUCCAGGAGGGAGGGCAGAGGAAGCGCCAUUGCAUAUUCAAAGACUUAUACAGUUAUGCAUAAGCUAAAGAUGAUUUAUUUGGACAUAUGAAUCUAUAACGUUAGUUUUUUUAUAAGGAUAUUUUAGGAAAUUGAACUAUCUUUUAAAAAUUAUCUUAUCUGACUGCCUUAGUAUGCUGGACAUAGUCAAGGUCUAUACAUAAUAAUCUCAAAAGGCCUGUCAUAAUAUCACAC